GUUCUCCUUCACACUUGUAAUCAUGUAGCCCCAAAUAGAGAGCCUAGUACCCGACAAUCCUAGGGAUUGUGUGCAAGGUUCUCGAAGAUCGUACCAGACAGUCUUCGAGACUGUGUGCGAUCUAAGCAGCGGCACUGAGUUCUUUAAUAAAAUAUUUCCUUUUGUUCUUGUCGAUUUGAUCUUUUAUUCCGCGUUCGAUCGAACCGUUGAGUGAUGUCACGGGUAAUUCGGGACUUACAAGUGGUAUCAGAGCCAUUGAAGUCUUUCAAAGGCUCGGUUUUUUAUAUCGCUCGAAGAACGAGAAGAAGAUUUACACAGUGUCGGGGGGAUUUAUGUUCGUAAAUGGAAAGAUCUCCGGUUCGUAAAACCUGAUGUUCAUUCACAGAUCUAAAAAUUUUAAGAUUUGGUGUUAUUUCUGUUCAUCCAUAUUCACACAGUCGAGUCUACUCUCAAAAAAAAGUCCCAACCCUAAUAUGUAACCUCAGCCGCCAGUAUGAUUAAGAUGAAGGUCGCCGGUGAUGUUUGACGACGGAGGUACGGUGACAGUGUGCGUGGAGACAAGGGUGGCGGUACGAUAACAAGAACAGUGAUGGUAGUCGGAGGUCACGUCGGAGAAGACGAACAGUGUUCGGUGGUGGCGGUGCUCCGGCGGAGGUGGUUCGUUGUCUGUUGAACGGAGAAGACGGAGGACGACGGUGGUGUACGAGGUGUUCGCAGAUGAUAUGGAGUUGCACGUGAUGUCCGACAGAGGUGAUGAUGACAGAAUGAAGACGGAGGGAGACGAUGGUGAAGGAAUGAGUGUCUCAGUGAUGAUGAUCGGAGAACAGUGGUGAACGGGGACCGGAGGUAGCACAGUGAAAAUGAUGUUUCGGGUUGUUUCGGAAUGACCUGAGAUGGAGAAUGGGUGAUCGAUGAUCAGGAAACGGAGUUGCAGGUUGAUAACAAACAUCGGAGAUGGUUGUUAAUUGUCGUCGGAAGGUUGUAUGGUAGUGAAGCGAUGGCGUGUGGAUGAUGAUGGUGAAAGCGGUGACCGGAGUUGAUCGGAGAAAACCGUGUAGUGGCGACGAAGAUGUCACGUGAUGUUGUUGAUGAUGAAAAGUAAUGAUGAUAUGAUGAUGCUUAAUGUUGUUGUCGGCUGCUAUUGAUGAAUAUGAUGUUGAAGAUGAUGAUGUCACAUCAUCAUCAUCAAAAGAAUAAUGAAGAAAAUCGAGUGACGGCUGCACAUGUUGUCAUUCAGGGAAUUUAAAAAGCCCUAACAAUGCUAGCCGUUGGAUGGAAUGCACGAUCAAUGGUCAAGAAAUAAAAAGAAUGUUGGAAUGAUUGUUUGCGGCUGUCAUACGAUGUCCCAUCAUUUUCUCAAAAAUCCCUAAGGUAUGUCAACCAUUAGAUGGAGAAUGAUCUACGGUUAGAAAGAAAGGAGAUAUAUUUGCUUUUAGUGUAUAAUUUUGUGAGGUCAACGGAGUACAGCCAAGAAGAUUCAAUGGAUGGUAAUAUUUUUUAAGCCCAAAUGAUUGAAGCCCACAUUUGUGUAAUAAUGGAUCAGUUAAUACUGUUGGGCCUGUCUAAUAUCUCAAUCAGAUUGGAGGUGGACCUGUUGAACUUGGUUGGGCCUGUGCUGAAGAUUUAAUUUCAGGAUUUCAUUUUGGGCUUCACAUUUCAUCCGAAAUACAUAAGAUACAGUCCAUAAUCAUCAUUUCGAAUCCAUAUCUUUCAUCCGACAUCAUCUGAGAUGACAUCGAAUCAUUCGAGAAGACCCAAGACUGGAGAUCGUCUAAACCAUAAUAAAGAGAGCAUAAAACUAAGGGGAGAUUGUUAGAUUAGUUUUGAGCUUGGGCUUAGGCCAUGUGGGCCAAUGGGUAGUGGGUUCUAUAUAUAGUAUUCAUUAGAAUAUUGUAGUUAGAGCUCUCCCAUAGUGUCACCAUGUAAUCCCCAAAGGAGAACCUUGUACCCGACAAUCCUAGGGAUUGUGUGCAAGGUUCUCGAAGAUCGUACCAGACGGUUCGUUGAAACCGUGUGCGAUCUAAUCAGCGACACUAAGAUUCGUAAUGAAAAAUCUCUUUUUGUUCUUGUC
rnacentral:lncRNA from 1 species